rnacentral:lncRNA from 1 species
CUUCCCUAUUCAUUGCGGGUUGGUUAUUUGUCAGCACAGGUUUAGCUUACGAUGUGUUUGGAAGCCCGCGGCCAAACGAGUAUUUUACAGAGAGCCGACAAGGAAUUCCAUUAAUAACUGGCCGUUUUGAUCCUUUGGAACAACUCGAUGAAUUUAGUAGAUCGUUUUAGGAGGCCCUAAUGACUAUAGAUCGAACCUAUCCAAUUUUUACAGUACGAUGGUUGGCUGUUCACGGCCUAGCUGUACCUACCGUCUUUUUUUUGGGAUCAAUAUCAGCAAUGCAGUUCAUCCAACGAUAAACUUAAUCCGAAUUAUAGAGCUACGACACAAUCAAACCCGAACGAACAAAAUGUUGAAUUGAAUCGUACCAGUCUCUACUGGGGUUUAUUACUCAUUUUUGUACUUGCUGUUUUAUUUUCCAAUUAUUUCUUCAAUUAAGAAAACGAAAGAGAAUAAAUAAGAUUCUCUUAGCUCAUUCGGAAGGAUCUCAUAAUUUAAUUAUCCAUGACUGUUUAUGUCUCUAGCAUGACCACUUGAUGAAAUCUGGAGGGAAGUGGGGUAAAUGGCCGAUACUACUGGAAGGAUUCCUCUUUGGAUAAUAGGUACUGUAGCUGGUAUUCUUGUAAUCGGUUUAAUAGGUAUUUUCUUUUAUGGUUCAUAUUCCGGAUUGGGUUCAUCCCUGUAGUAAUCGACUGAAUUGAGUUGUCAACAUGAAAGCGUAAGAACUUAACGGGAUUCCCUUCUUUGUUUGUUUGAUUCGAAGGGGAAGGGCCCGUUGAGUUCUUAAGAAUCAUAAUAUUUUUUUCGUCUAAAUGCUAAAACGGAUUUCUUUUUCUUUUCAAAAACUCCGUUUUUCUCAUUUUUCUGAGCAUGUUUUUGAAAAAUUCACUUCAUUGAGUUAGUCAGACCACCUCUUCUUUUUAUAUGAUAGUAUCUAUCGGUACUUUCAAAGUUGGAAGAAAGAAGGAAGAACUCAAUUUCUUGGCUGCUAUCAUAUAUUAGAUAGCGUGCAAAUCCUUUCUAUACUAAUCUAAUGUAGAACCUUACUCUCUAUAUUACAUUACUCUAUUGAUUUUUUAUUGUUUUCCUAUUUCAUCAUCAAAUUUUUUAUAAGAUAAGUUGAUUGAAGAAGUUUUAUUUAAUUAAUAAAAUUUCCUCUCUUUUUGUUUUGUUUGUCCACCAAUUCAUAUAUUAUAUGUAAGGGGGUAGGUGUAGGGUUUCUGAUACAUCUGGAAAAAUUGAAACCAAGACUAGGAAUUUUUAACAAACAGGAUCAAGAAUCAUUACUCUUUCGUUUCGACACAAGAAAAAAGGAUUUUUCUACACCCCUUUCUUGUGUCGAAGACUAGGAAGACAAAUAAUCCCUCCUAGAAUUUUUUCUUCCCCGCAUUUAUCCCCCGCUUCCUUAUGUCUAGUAUUUAGACAAAUUUGACUUUCUUUCUAUUUAGAAUAGAAAACUAUUGAUACGUUUUAUGGCAGUGAAAUCUGGCAAUAGUAACAUAGUUACACUACUCCAAUUAAAAAAAAACUAAAUCAAAAUAAAUGAAAGCCAAAUACUCUUCUUCAAAAUCUACAUACUAUGUGGUACAAGGGAUUCCCAGCAUCUCGUAGAAAAAGAGUAUGUAAUGUAGAUUUUGAAGAAGAGUAUAAAUAAGACAAAGGAGUUUUCAUAAUUUCAUUUUUUGAUCAUAAAUAAUCGCCAACAAGAAUUUGGUUCUUUUUACGUACUUGAUAUCGAUAAAUCUGCGAAUCUAGAAAUUCAUUUCGGCCAAUUGAACCUUCUCGAACUGUUUCUUUUUAAGAACCAAAAAGAUUUGUGCCAAAAUAACAGAUGCCAAGAAGAACAAAAGUCCUUGGACACGUAAUGGAUCUUGAAGUACUAUUUCUGCAUCUCCCUGACCAAAUCCGCCUACAUUAGGAUUACUCGUUAAUGGUUGAUCAAAUUUGAUAGAUUCGCCCUCGGAAACAAGAAGUUCUGGUCCGGGAGGGAUAAUAUCAACCACUUGACGUCCCUCCGACGCAUCCGUUAUGGUUAUCUCAUACCCCCCUUUUUCUUUUCGUAUGAUUUUGCUUACUAUACCUGCUGCUGUAGCAUUAUAAACUGUAUUGUUACUCUUGUUGCCGUCGGGAUAAAUCUGACCCCUUCCCCUGUUCCCGCCUACGUAUAUAGGAUAUUUUAAGAAGUGAACAUCCUUCUUAGUAGCAGGGUCCGGGGAAAGAAUAGGGAAGGUUAUUUCACUAUAUUUUUUACCAGGGACAGGGCCUACCACAAGAAUAUUUGUUUUAUUGGGGCGAUAGCUCUGAAAAGACAAAUUGCCAAUCUUUUCUUUCAUCUCAGGAGAAAUACGAUCGGGAGGAGCUAAUUCAAACCCCUCCGGUAAAAUAAGAACAGCUCCGACGUUCAACCCCCCUUUUUUACCAUUAGCAAGAACCUGUUUCAGUUGCAUAUCAUAAGGAAUUCGAACAACUGCUUCAAAUACAGUAUCAGGAAGUACCGCUUGUGGAACCUCAAUUUCCACGGGCUUAUUAGCUAAAUGGCAAUUGGCACAUACAAUACGCCCAGUCGCUUCUCGUGGAUUUUCAUAACCCUGCUGUGCAAAAAUGGGAUAUGCACUUGAAAUGGACGUCCGAGUUAAGAUAUAUAUCAUGAGCGAUACGGAAAUAGAUCGAGUAAUCUGUUUCUUUAGCCAAGAAAAAGCAUUUCUAGUUUGCAUGGUCCAAUCAUUGAUCGCGAAAAUUUCUACAAUAAAUUGGGGUAGGUCGCUAGUAUAGUUCCCUAGCCACGAUUCUGCUAUUUGCUGGAAUAAUCUAGGAUGAAUCUUCCGAUGGUUAGAAAUAGGAAGAGUAAAUAUGAUUUUCAAUACUUUGCUUAUGUACAACUACAAAGUACUAAGCAUUCUAAUUGAUUGAUUAUUCAAUGAUCCUUUAUCCUUCAGUUAUUGAAUCAUAAGCGGUAAAAUUGCGGAGACAGACUAGUUAAAUUACGAGAAAAAGCCAAUGUUAAAACAUGUACAAAAUUAAUGGAGAUUCAAAAAAAGAAUAGUUCUAGUUUGCUCAUUCGCACAACUCAACUCGUUUAUAGAUCGAGCGUAUAAACGAUUCACCAACCUGGGGUGAUGAUUCCGAAAAAAACUCACUUACUAAAGAAUACACAACGCUUUUUGCUGGUGUCACUUAAUUUUUAUACUAGGAAUUCCUGAGCCCAGAGUUAGAAUAUAACAGUUUUUUUCCUUACCCAAAUUGAAANNNNNNNNNNNNNNNNNNNNNNNNNNNNNNNNNNNNNNNNNNNNNNNNNNNNNNNNNNNNNNNNNNNNNNNNNNNNNNNNNNNNNNNNNNNNNNNNNNNNNNNNNNNNNNNNNNNNNNNNNNNNNNNNNNNNNNNNNNNNNNNNNNNNNNNNNNNNNNNNNNNNNNNNNNNNNNNNNNNNNNNNNNNNNNNNNNNNNNNNNNNNNNNNNNNNNNNNNNNNNNNNNNNNNNNNNNNNNNNNNNNNNNNNNNNNNNNNNNNNNNNNNNNNNNNNNNNNNNNNNNNNNNNNNNNNNNNNNNNNNNNNNNNNNNNNNNNNNNNNNNNNNNNNNNNNNNNNNNNNNNNNNNNNNNNNNNNNNNNNNNNNNNNNNNNNNNNNNNNNNNNNNNNNNNNNNNNNNNNNNNNNNNNNNNNNNNNNNNNNNNNNNNNNNNNNNNNNNNNNNNNNNNNNNNNNNNNNNNNNNNNNNNNNNNNNNNNNNNNNNNNNNNNNNNNNNNNNNNNNCCCUAAACCUAAACCCUAAACCCUAAACCCUAACCCUAAACCCUAAACCCUAAACCCUAAACCUAAACCCUAAACCUAAACCCUAAGCCCUAAACCCUAAGCCCUAAACCCUAAACCCUAAACCCUAACCCUAAACCCAAACCCUAAGCCCUAAACCCUAAACCCUAAACCCUAAACCCCAUCGCACCUCAUUUUCCGGAAUUUUUCUCUCUCUACAUUUUCUCUCUCUUCGCAAAACGCUCUCUCUUACUCACAACGGCUGACACUUACCAAUCGACCAGCGCCGCGAUGGCGCGUGGGACGCCGGCAGCCGCUAGAAGGCCACCAGAUCAAAAUCAAAAGGGGCGCUUGGAUGAGAGCUCCCUAAUCCCAUAUGACACGCCCCAAAAUCAACCUCAGCAAGCCUCGAAUCUGCAGGAUAAAGAUGCGAUGAGUUCUGCGUUUAUUGAAGAGGUCGGCUAUGAAGAUCGAGAAAAAAUUUCCCAACGAGUUUCUGAGAAGAAUCGAGGGAAGAAAUGAGUUCUACGCAUCAAGAUCUACCCGAGGUUCAAGUUUCAUCCAGUUCUACAGUCCCAAUCGCUCAGACGAGAGAGGCGAUUUUGGAGAAAAUCGCGACCGAGUCGCCUGAGUCGCGAAUCAACAUUCGACCAACUUUAAGGUCAAUUCGUGGGGAUUUGACUACUGGGGAUUGUUCCCACAUGGAUGGCGACCAUCUCAGCCAAAAAUUGGAACGAAAAGACUGUCGAAUCGCUGUGUGUGAAAACUCCGGCGACCUUAAGGUUCCAGACGCCGGAAAAAAUGGAGGCUCAGCAAAAAAGGCGAUGUCCCAAGUUCAUAAUACCCAAGAAACGACCUUAAUCAGUCGCCCUAACAGAGAAAACAUCAACAAAAAUGCUCCAGCAAUUUCCGACAAUCGCAACCCAAAUGUUCACCAUGGGCGACAUGAAAGAACAGGGGAAUUGCCAAAGGGUGAUCGAGAUGUCGAACGACAUAGUUCACCAAUCAUGCCAUACGAAAGUGAAGCAACAACAGAGUCCAAAAAUACCAACAAGCAUCAGGAAGAAAACUCCAAUGAACAACAGGGCAACCACAUGUUGAAAAUGGCCACACAACCUGCUGCAUCAACAUCAGAAAAUGCUAACUUUUCUUUUGCAAUAACAAAUACUUCAACACAGUUAACACCUCGUUUCAAUGCAGGUAACUCAUCAGGAAAACAUAAUCAGCAAGAAGAAGAGGGAAGAAAUGAGAAAACACUCACCUACAGGCAGGAACAACAUAGGACAAGCCACGAACAAGUCCAUAAACAGCAACAGCAACAUGAAAAAGAAAAGGGGAGUCUAGAAGGAAGCAACUUAAAUCAACAGCAAAAUAAUGUUGCAGGAUACAUUGAUCAAUCCCAGCAAAGUCAUACACAAGGAAGAGGAAAGUUAGAUGAUCAAACCAAAGAGGCAAUGGAGAAGUAUCACAAUAAUUUUCCUAAAAUUUCUAACAACUUCUCAAGGUAUGAUCCUAAACUCAGGAAUAAUAAUUUACACAAACAGACCGGCCAGGCUGAUCAAGCCAAUAUUAGAAACCAUAACAACAUUUUGCAAGGCCAACAAGUUAAUAUUAAUAACAAAGAUGAACAAACUGAUGAGCCUGCUCCGUAUACUGUCAUACAAUCUUUUGCAGCUAGGUUGAGAUAUAAUCAGGCUCAAAAUGAAACCCCUAUUACUUUAAACGAACCUGUGCAUACCACUAGACAAGGUUUUCCUGCUGUUCUUAUUGAGGAAAGUGACUAUUAUGUUAAGCUUGCAGAGAUUUGUAAAUAUACGCUUGUGGGCAAAUUUACUAACACUAUGCCUAGGAUGGAACUUGUUAGGAAAAGCUUUAUUUUGCAGACUCAAUUAAUGGGGGGAGUUAAGAUCACUCACUUCAACUCUAGACAUGUCUAUAUUGACCUCGACAAUGAACUGGAUUAUCAAACUGUUUGGACGAAGUUAAAGAUGAACAUCGAGGGUCAAGCAAUGAGAAUACAAGCUCGAACCCCUGACUUUACCCCGGAAGAAGAAACACCAGUAGUCCCUAUCUGGAUAUCUAUCCCAGGCCUUCCAUGGCAUUGUUACAACAAAGUUUUCUUAACAACUAUUUUGGAAAGCAUUGGGAAAGUUUUAUUUCUGGAUUCACCUACCUCGCAAAGAACUAGAGGAAGCACCAUUAGAGUUAAAGUGCAGGUUGACCUUACAAAGGAAAGACCUUCCCAUGUUUGGUUGGGUUUUAAACAUUCCAACCCCAACAAAGGAAGAUGGCUGAAAGUUGAGUAUGAAGGAAUCCCUAGUUACUGUUUUUACUGUAAGCACCAAGGUCACAAAGAUGAGGAGUGUACAAUAAAAAGAAGGGAUGAGGAGAUAAGGAAGAAAAAGGAGCUGGAAAGGGACAUAAGCACUGAAGACAGGGGUCUUGAAAAACUCCAGGAACAGGGGAAACAUGCAAAGACUGCAGCUGUUAAGACAGCUAAUCAAUUAAACAAAAAUCAACAAGGAGAUAAUGCCAAAAAGGAGCUGUUAAACCAAUCAAAAACUCAGAGAGUAAAUCAGCAACAAAAGCAGCACAUACAUGUUCAAGCUGAACAGGGGCAUCAUGAGGAGGCACAUGAAGAACAAUGGCAAACACAAAAAAGAAGACACACAAAAGCUCAGGAUCAAUCCACUUCCACUGCUGUGUGGAAACCUGUCAACCCUUCAGCACACAAAAACAGCAGUAAUCAGCAGCAGCAACAGGAAAUUACAGGUAUAACUAAUCUACCAAUUCAAAACAUUUUUACUAAUCUUGAAGUGCAGGAAACACAGAUGGAGCAGCAGGGUGAACAGAUUGGGAGCAAGGAUGAAGCAGAUCAUCCAAAUCAAUCAGAUAAAAACCAAUCAAAUGUACAGCCUAACAAGAACAAUCCAGGUAAACAUAACAGGUCCAUUCAGCACACUGCUGACAGCAACAAAAACAAGAGAACAGGUAUUGACUUAUCUCUCCCAAACCCCCAUUCCCCCAUUAACUGUACUGUUGAUGAUGGUCUUACUGAUGAAGUUGCUGGAGGUAUGGAUGGGGGGUGUCAGGAGAUAGCCAUUAACUUGCAGGAAGGGGACUCCAAAGGGGGGAAUUUGCCUCAUGUUUUGCAUGAGGGGUUGGUUGACCAUAGGACAGCCCAUAGAGCCAUUAGGAAUGUUGAAAAAAACCAGGCUCAAAGAGACCAAACACAGCAGCAAGCUCAAAACAAUGACAUCAAAAAACAUGCUGCCAAGGAAACAACAAAGGAACAGGUUGAAAAUUUGGUUGACAAGGAUCAUGUGGAACAGAAUGUUACUAUGGUUAAAGAAAGCCCUCCAAAGAGUAAGAACAAACCUAGUAAACAGAAAAGGGAUGCUGAAAAAAAAAGACAAAAUAGGCAACUUGAUAAAGAUAUGGAACAAGACCAUGAAGUAAGGGAGGAAUCUUGCAACAAAUUUGUGAUGGUGGAUGAUAACCAUGGCUUAAAUAUUCCUCCAUUACAAGUGCAUUACAUGGCUCCUCACACAUCAGACUCCUCGUACAAAAUGCAGCAACCAUGUAGAUUCAAUACUGAACAAGGUUUGGAUGAAUAUGGAGUGAUCAAUUCUGAGGAUGAACUUGGAGAAGAUAAUCAAUCUAGACAAGACUCUGAUGAUAAUGAUGAGACUAGUGAGGCAUUGAUUAGGGCCUUCAGUCCACAUAAUGAUCAGACAAUGGAGAAUGAGGUCCAACAGUUGACAAAAAAUCAGAGCCUAUCUCCAAGGAGUUUCCAAAAAGACAGAUUCCACUUCACUAAGCAGGAUGCCAAAACUGUCACUGCUGGAAGACCUAACACUAGACUCUUUUCAUCCAGAUCCUCCCAAUGAUUAGUACAAUAAUAUGGAAUGUUAGGGGGAUCAACACUCAGGGAGUGUUGGAAAGACUCAAAAUGUUUAGAAAGAUGCACCAUCUGUCUAUUAUUGCCAUUCUGGAGCCUUUCUCUGAUAGUGGUAAUAUUCAGAGCUUCAAAAUGCAAUUGAACAUGGAUAACGCUAUUAGUAAUUGUAAUAGUAAGAUUUGGGUUUUUUGGAACAGCGAUAUUGACUGUAAUAUUCUUGAUGAAGAUGAACAGCAAAUUACCUGUAACAUUAAACACAAUGAAUUACAAUAUCAAUUUACUAAUACCUUUAUUUAUGCAAAGUGCAAAGAGUAUCUCAGGAGACCUUUAUGGGAGAAAUUACUUCAUCAAGCCAAUAUCAAUACUAAUCCUUGGUGUUCAGUAGGGGACUACAAUGUUAUCUCAAAUGUGGAGGAAAAACUAGGCGGCCUACCCUACAAUAUGAAAAAGAGUAUGGACUUCAUUGCCGUAACUGAAGCAUGUGGUCUUAUAGACAUAGGAUUCAAUGGUCACAGAUUUACAUGGUCUAAUAAGCGAGGCAUCAAUCAUAGAAUUUGGAAGAGGUUAGACAGGGCCUUGGUGAAUGACUCUUGGCUUGAAAAGAUGCCUCAAACCACUAUAACACACUUACCUUCCACAGGUUCAGAUCAUUGUCCGUUACUCAUGGAAAUGGUAUCCGCUGAAGCUGAACACAUCAAAUACUUUAAAUUCCUUAACUGUUGGGUUGACAAUCCAAAUUUUUUACUUACUGUUAAGAAUUGUUGGGAUAGACCUGUGGAAGGUCAUGCUAUGUGGAGGUUUCACCAGAAAAUGAAAAGGCUUUCUAGUACCCUAAGUGUCUGGUCCAGAGAGGCUUUUGGGGAUAUCUUUCAAAAGGUUAGGAUGUAUGAGGAUCAAGUGCAUGAAGCGGAAGAAAGCUACAUCCUAAACCAAAGUGAGUCAAAUAGGAUGACCCUCCAUGAACUCAAUGCUCAAUAUAUCAAGUUCCUUAAAAUUGAGGACAUCAUUUUGAAACAAAAAACUCAGCUCCAAUGGUUUAAAGAUGGUGACACCAACUCCAAAUAUUUUCACUCAAUUAUAAGAGGAAGGAGAAGGAAACUUUUCAUUCAUAAAAUUGUUACUGAAAAUGGGGUUUGGAUACAAGGUGAAAACAAUGUAGCUAAGAAGGCUUGUGAUCAUUUCAACACUAUUUUUACAGGCGAGAAUAAGUAUAUUAAUGAACACAACUUGGAUUGCAUCCCAAAGAUAGUCAACGAGGACCAAAACAAUCAGCUUACAGCACUACCGGAUAUGGAUGAGCUUAAAGAAGUUGUAUUUUCCAUGAAUCCUAACUCUGCAGCUGGUCCUGAUGGUAUGAACGGGUACUUCUUUCAGAAGUUGCUGGAACAUUAUCAAGAAAGACUUGAUGGAAGUACUUCAUGCUUUUUUCAGUGGACAAAUGAUUCCUAAGUACUUCUCUCAUUCUUGCAUUGUGUUGCUCCCCAAAGUGAACAAUCCAAACAAACUUACGGAGUAUAGGCCGAUAAGUCUGAGCAACUUCACUAGUAAGAUUAUAUCUAAGCUAGUAAGUAAGAGACUUAGCCCUAUCCUUCCGUUCCUGAUCUCUACCAACCAAUCUGGCUUUGUAAAGGGGAGAAAUAUUUCUGAAAACAUCAUGCUUGCCCAGGAAAUCAUUCAUCAAAUCAAAAAACCCAAUAUUGGUAGUAAUGUGGUUAUCAAACUAGAUAUGGCAAAAGCAUAUGAUAGGGUCUCUUGGUCAUAUAUAUGUCUGGUCCUACGAAAAUUCGGUUUCAGUGAGGUGUUUAUUGACAUGAUUUGGAGAAUCAUGGCUAAUAAUUGGUACUCCAUUAUUGUCAACGGCAACAGGUAUGGCUUCUUCCGAUCUAGUAGAGGCCUCAAACAGGGUGAUCCACUAUCCCCGGCCUUAUUUAUUUUAGGUGCUGAGGUGUUGUCGAGAUCUCUUAAUAGGCUUCACAUGCAUCCUGAUUAUCAGGGUUUCACUAUGGAAAAAAGGGGGCCCCGGGUGAAUCACCUUAGUUUUGCAGAUGACAUUAUUUUAUUCACUUCGGGAAGAGCCAAAACCCUGAAACUCCUUAUGAAUACUCUAAAGGAGUAUGAAAAGAUCUCGGGGCAACUUAUCAAUGGGGAUAAAAGCCUCUUUAUGCUUCACCCUAGUGCAUUCAAUAACACUAAGGAGAGGAUUAAAAGGCUGACAGGUUUUAAAGAGAAACAAGGCCCUAUCACCUAUCUAGGCUGCCCUUUAUUUGUUGGCAGACCUAAAAAUGUUUAUUUCUCAGAUCUUAUUAAUAAAAUUGUCUCCAGAAUUACAGGUUGGCAAACGAAGCAACUUAGCUAUGGUGGAAGGGCAGUGUUGGCUAAACAUGUUCUCCAAGCUUUGCCUAUACAUCUUUUAUCCGCUGUAACUCCACCAAAGUCUAUCAUUCGACAGAUCCAAAUGAUCAUUGGGGAUUUCUUUUGGGGAUGGCAUAUCAAUAAAAAAAAAUAUCAUUGGUCUUCUUGGAAAAAUUUAAGUUAUCCAUAUGAGGAGGAUGGUAUAGGGAUGAGAAACCUACAAGAUGUUUGUAGAGCUUUCCAAUUCAAACAAUGGUGGAUAUUCAGAACCAAGCAAACUUUGUGGGGAGACUUUUUGAAAGCGAAAUAUUGCCAAAGAUCCCAUCCGGUAAGCAAAAAAUGGGAUACGGGAGAAUCCUUAACCUGGAAACACAUGCUUUUCAUUAGAAAAAAAAUGGAACAACACAUUCAUUGGAGACUUCAAGCCGGAGAAUGUUCCUUUUGGUGGGAUAAUUGGUUGGGAACAGGGCCAUUAUCCCACCAUAACAGCAGGUGCAGCAGGUUUAGCAACAUCAAAGUUGCUGAUUUUUGGGACAAUGGAAGAUGGAAUUGGAGGAAAUUGGUAAAACAUGCUCCAGCCAGUCAAUUGAGCAGCAUCAUGGCUACUCCAAUCCCUCAACAGCAGCACAAGCAGGACCAAGCCAUUUGGAAACUUAGCAGCGAUGGCAAAUUCAAUUGCUCCACGGCUUGGGAGGAAAUCAGGCACAAGAAGCCUCGGAAUAAGUUCAAUUCUUUAUUAUGGCAUAAUUUCAUCCCAUUUAAAUCUUCAUUUCUUGUAUGGAGAAUGCUAAAAGGCAAACUUCCUACAAAUGAAAAGCUUACUAACUUUGGCAUUGAGCCAUCACCUUGUUUUUGUUGUUUUGAUAGAGCAGGCAUGGAUACCAUCGACCAUACCUUCAACUCCGGACCUUUUGCAGCUGGCGUGUGGAAGGCCUUUACAGCAGGAGCAGGGCUGCAGGCAGAUCAAACUCCAUUGAAGGCGAAGCUGCGACAGUGGUGGACAGCCAGACCACGCAAUGAAGGCCACCAGCUGCUGCUGCAAGCCACGCCUAUUUUUAUUGUUUGGAAUCUCUGGAAAAACAGAUGCGCAUGCAAAUAUGGAGGGACAUCAACCAACAUCAGCCGUGUCAAAUACGCAGUUUACAAGGAUACUUUCAAAAUGUUGAAGAUGGCAUUCCCACACAUUAAGUGGCCAGGAAGCUGGGCAGCGCUAGUCCAAAAAGCUGAAAAUUGCAAACAUGAAAUCAAAGUAAGCAUGGUAACUUGGAACAGACCUUCAGAACAGUGGAUUAAAAUAAACACAGAUGGAAGCGCUCUUACUAACCCAGGACAAACCGGGGCGGGAGGUAUACUUAGAGACAAGGAGGGCAAAAUGGUGAUGGCAUUUGCAACACCUCUCGGAGAAGGCACCAACAACACAGCGGAAGCCGAGGCUGUUCUUUUUGGUUUGUCAUGGGCACUGGAAUUGGGACACAGAAAUAUUCAAAUUGAGUUAGAUGCACAGUUGGUAGUGAAGUGGAUCACCAGGAAAGAAGUACCGCAUUGGAGUGUUAUUAAUCAAAUCGAGAGAAUCCAACAUCUUAUCAUGCAGACUCAAAACUUCAAGUGUACUCAUAUUUUCAGAGAGGCAAAUUGGGUUGCAGACGCAUUGUCAAAACACAGUCACAACAUACCGGCCCCGCAGGUUUACUUCAGCAACAAUCAACUACCUAGAGAAGCCCAAGCCUACUAUCAAAUGGACCUUAGGAACAUGCCGAGCUUUAGAAGAAAGAAGACCAAGAAAAUUUUUGAUCCGCCUUGAUUUUCCUUUUCAACUUGGCUAUAUUCAAGUGAUAUAGCUACUUUGAAAAGGGGUAUAGGAUUAGAUUAACAUAGGCUUUCUUGUAAAAGGGAGAGUCUCCCUAAUUUAUGUUUCCUAGAUGCUUUGUAAUGAGAGGAGUCCUCUCCUUAGGUGCGUAGUAUUUAGGUUUCAUCUUCUAUGUACGGGGAGGAGUUAACAUUCAUUAGGAGAGUUGACUCCAAACCACUUAGAUUGGAGGUUAGGUUUAUGCCCCCCUCCUUGUAUUUUGCUUUUUGGAAUUAAUGAUAAGGCCUGGGGGUGUCGCUCAGCCCCUACCCCUCUAAGGGUUAUUCAACUAAAAAAAAAAAAAAAAAAAAAAACCCUAAACCCUAAACCCUAAACCCUAAACCCAAACCCUAAACCCUAAACCCUAAACCCUAAACCCUAAACCCUAAACCCUAAACCCUAAACCCUAAACCCUAAACCCUAAACCCUAAACCCUAAACCCUAAACCCUAAACCCUAAGCCCUAAGCCCUAAGCCCUAAGCCCUAAGCCCUAAGCCCUAAGCCCUAAGCCCUAAGCCCUAAGCCCUAAGCCCUAAGCCCUAAGCCCUAAGCCCUAAGCCCUAAGCCCUAAGCCCUAAGCCCUAAGCCCUAAGCCCUAAGCCCUAAGCCCUAAGCCCUAAGGGAAGAAGCGGUCCAUGUAGCGACUAUAGAGGCUGAUAUCGAUGCUUCACGUCACAAUGUUGAACAAGAUUACCAUCUCAAUCGUCAAUUAGGCGCAACUGAAAAAGGCGAAGAACAUUUGGACGAUGGAAAAAUAACAUCGCAGGAUGCGGCGGCGAAAUCGAUCUCUACACCAGUUCAAUCGCAUAACAUUCGACAAGAAUCUCGCACUGGGGAAUCUUCUCUAGGUCAAGAUUUACAUUCUCAACAGAUUGGUGAAGCAAUAGAGGAUCGAAUACACGAUUCGCGACAGGAAUCGCAAACUCGAAAUCGCGAUGGUCAAAACCCACAGGUGAAUCGAUCUACUCAAAAUCAGCAAAGAAAUCCCAGAUUUACUAAGGAAAAGGAGAUGGAACAACACAGAAAUCCCAAUUCUAACAAGGGAUUCGAGAUUGAAAAGCAAAAUCCAAGGUCAACACGACUUCUUGCAACUAAGGAUGCUGUUCAUCCUUCACAAAAUAGGCAAUCUGGUAUUCCUUCUUCUACGAUUCCUACUAGAGAUCAUAAUGUUCAAGGUAAUUUCGUUUCAUCCAAUUCUAAUUACAAGAAUGAUAAUCUAGUUACUGAUAAAACUACCACUGUUUCUGGGAGAAAUCUUGAUUACCAACAAAAUUUUCCUAAACUAACUAGCAAUUUUGAUAGAAACUUGACUAGAAAUGAAAUUGAUAAGAAUGAUCUUCCUUUAGGAACUAACAAUUUUCCCAAGAAAGAUCAUAUACCUGAACCUGCUCCAUAUACAGUUAUACAAACCUAUGCAGACAGAUUAAGAUAUAAUCAAUCUAAGUGUGGGGAGAACAUUAAGUUGACAGAACCUGAGAUUACUACUAAGCAAGGUUUACCUGCUGUGCUAUAUGUUAAAGAGGAAGUAGUUAAAGAUUUGGCUUCAACCUGUAAGUUUACUUUAAUAGGAAAGUUCAUUUAUACCAUGCCUAAAAUAGAGUUAAUUAGGAAGAACUUUAUAUUACAAACUCAGUUAUCAGGGGGUGUUAAAAUAGCCCAUUUUAAUUCUAGACAUGUUUAUAUAGAUCUUGAUAAUGAACUUGACUACAACAUGGUUUGGACAAAACAAAGAAUGACAAUAUCAGGGCAAGUAAUGAGAAUACAGGCUUGGACUCCCAAUUUUACACCUGAGGAAGAAACACCUCUAGUUCCAAUUUGGAUUUCAUUGCCUGAAUUGCCUUGGCAUUGUUACAAUAAACAAUUCAUCACAAGCCUGCUUUCACCCAUAGGUAGGGUAUUAUAUUUGGACUCUGCUUCAAUAAACAAAACGAGAGGAAGUCAAGCUAGAGUUAAAGUUCAGGUAGAUUUAACUAAGGAAAGACCUCCACACAUUUGGAUGGGAUACAUAGGAGAAGACAUCACUGAUGGUAGGUGGCAAAAGAUUGAAUAUGAUAACAUUCCUAAUUACUGUUUUUACUGUAAACAUCAAGGCCAUAAGGAAUCAGAUUGUAUAGUAAAACAUAGGGAUGAAGAAAAUAAAAGAAGAAAAGAGAUUGAAAAAAAUAAGCCUAGGAAAGACAAUACAAUACAUGUCCCUGCAGAUUUACAGAUUAUUCAACAUAUGGACUCUGGUAGAAGUGACAUGGAGCAUGAUCAAUCAAGACAACAACAUGUUCAAAAUCAGCAACAAGGUACACAAGAAGAAUGGCAAGUUCAAAGAAGAAGAAACACCAACCAACAAGUUAGAUUUACCAAUGAGAAGACUGGUUCACAUCAACACCAGUCUAACACAGGUAUGAUUCCUAUUCCUACUAAAAAUACCUAUAUUGACCUUGAGACACAGGAUCAUACACCUGUUGAAGAGGGAAGGGAUCAAUACAUGGAUGAUCAGCAUGAAGAAACUCAUGUACAGAAGGAAAAAAGGAAGCAAUCAAGAGUGGAAACCCAGGUCACUAGGGAUCCACAGGAUGACCAUCAAUAUGACAACAAUAAUAAAGAAGGUACUGAAUCAAUACUCCCCUCCCCUGCAAUCCCUAAUAGUGAUAAUACUGGUGUAGCUGAUGGAGGUGAGGAUGGAAGAAGUCAGGUGGAAAUUAGAUCUCAACAUGUUAAUUAUGAUAAAGGAAAAAAUAAAGCUGUUGAACAGGGGAUUUCUAGUAAUAUUGAGAAAGAACCCCCUGAUAAAAAUAGUAAAGUUCCUUCACACACUAACACUAAGAAUAACAAUAAAACUAUUGGUAAUGAACCAAUUGAUAUACAAAGAGAUGAAAAUUUUGAUGAGUAUAGGGAACCAGACUCAGAGGAUGAAGAUGAUGUGGAUACUCAUUCUUUAAAAGAAGGUAUUGAACCAGGUGAGGAAAUUAACACAUCUGACCAACUUCAUAAGGACCCCCUGUUUCAGCCAUCUAAUGUGGAUGAAAUUAGAGAGGUAACAGGCAAACAAGGUCUAUCACCAAGAGGUAGGAAGCCUGUAAAACAAAAUAAACUUAUCAGUUCUACCAAGCCUAACACUAGAGCUAGGAGUAGAGGAAGUUAAUGAUUAAGUUGUUAUGUUGGAAUGUAAGGAGCAUCAAUACUUUUGGUGCUCUUGAGAGACUGAUUAAUCUCAGGAAAAUGUAUAAUCUGUCUAUGCUAGCUAUCUUAGAACCUUUUUCUAAUCAAGCUCAUAUUGAUUCUUGUAGAAUGCAAUUGAUCAUGGAUCAUAGUUAUAGUAACUCUAAUAAUAAAAUCUGGCUGUUUUGGACUAAUGAGAUUACUUGUGACAUUUUGGAGAGUGACCAACAACAAGUGACUUGUGAAAUUAGACAUGAGAACUGUAGUGAGAAGUUCAUCAUGACCUAUGUAUAUGCAAAAUGUAAGGAUCAAUUAAGGAAGCCUCUUUGGGAUGCUAUGCUUAAAAGAUCAGAAACUAUGUAUCCUUGGUGUAUUUUAGGUGAUUUCAAUGUUAUCACUUCUACUAGAGAAAAGUUGGGUGGUAAAGAUUAUAAUAUUAAUAAGAGUUUAGAGUUUAUUAGUAUUAUUGAGGCAUGUGGAUUAGUUGAUAUGGGAUAUUAUGGACAGGACUACACUUGGUGUAAUCAUAGGAAAGAUGGUGCAAGGAUAUGGAAAAGACUGGAUAGAGGCAUGAAUAAUGAUAAGUGGAUUGAAACAAUGCCUCAUUCAAAUAUUACUCAUCUUCCUUCUGUAGGGUCUGAUCAUUGCCCAUUAUUGAUGGAAAUAUGUGAUAUUCAAUCUAAUACCAUUAAAUAUUUUAAAUUUCUGAACUGUUGGACUGAAAAUGAUUCUUUCCUCAAAACUGUAGAAAAUUGUUGGAAAAUAGAUGUAAUUGGUAACCCUAUAUGGAGAUUUCAUAUAAAAUUAAAAAGGUUAACUAAGACUUUGAGAGAAUGGUCCAAACAGGUUUAUGGUGAUAUAUUUGAAAAGGUUAAACAGUAUGAGGAAUUGGUGAAUAAGGCUGAAAAUGAUAUGAUUAGUAAUUAUAGUAUUGAAAAUGAAGAGAAGCUUAAUGCUAUGAAUGCUAAGUAUAUUAAGUACUUAAAGUUGGAAUAUAAGAUUCUUCAGCAGAAAACUCAGUUACAUUGGUUACAAGAGGGUGAUGCUAACACUAAAUAUUUUCAUGCUGUGAUUAGAGGUAAAAGAAAUAGAAUGGCAAUACAUAAGUUGAAGGAUGACAGAGGAAACUGGAUAAUAGGGGAAGAAGAUAUUGCUAAAAAGGCCUGUGAGUAUUAUGAGGAGAUAUUUACUGGUAAAAAUGAGACUAUUAAGGAAGAUAUGCUGCAAUGUAUUACUCCUAUGAUAACUCAGGAACAAAAUGAUGGUUUAGAUAGAUUACCUGAUAUGGAUGAAUUGAGAAGGAUUAUUAUGAGUAUGAAUCCUCAUUCAGCACCUGGUCCUGAUGGUUUUGGAGGAAAAUUUUAUCAAGUAUGUUUUGAUAUUAUCAAAAAAGAUCUCUUGGAUGCUGUUAACCAUUUUUAUAUUGGUAAUAGUAUGCCUAGAUAUAUGACACAUGCUUGUCUAAUAUUACUCCCCAAAAUUGAUCAUCCUUGCAGACUUAAGGACUUCAGACCUAUUAGCCUUAGUAAUUUUGUUAAUAAAAUCAUAUCUAAAAUACUUAGUACUAGACUGGCUUCUAUAUUACCUGGUGUUAUUUCUGAAAAUCAAUCAGGUUUUGUUAAAGGGAGGAGUAUAGCUGAGAAUAUUUUAUUAGCUCAGGAAAUUAUCCAUGGUAUUAAAAAACCAAAAGAAGGCUGUAAUGUGGUAAUUAAAUUAGACAUGGUUAAAGCUUAUGAUACGGUAUCUUGGACAUACACUUGUUUAGUUUUAAGGAAAAUGGGAUUUAGUGAAAUGUUUAUUGAUAGAGUUUGGAGGAUUAUGAGUAAUAAUUGGUACUCUAUUGUAAUAAAUGGAAAGAGGCAUGGUUUUUUUCAUUCCAAGAGAGGUCUUAAACAAGGUGAUCCUCUAUCUCCAGCAUUAUUUAUUCUAGGGGCUGAAGUUUUGUCAAAACAACUUAAUCUUCUCUAUCAAAAUUAUAAUUAUAAAGGGUUUCAAAUGGAAAGAAAUGGUCCAAAAAUUAAUCAUCUUAGUUUUGCUGAUGAUAUAAUUAUAUUUGCUUCUACUGAUAGUAAUUCUCUUCAUCUUAUUAUGAAAACUAUUGAGGCAUAUGAGGAAGUUUCUGAUCAGCAGGUGAAUAAAGAAAAGAGUUUCUUUAUGGUAUCUUCUAAAACUAGUCAUGACAUUAUAGAAGAGAUUAGGUUAGUUACAGGUUUUAAUAGGAAGAAUAGCCCUAUCAAUUAUCUAGGGUGUCCAUUAUACAUUGGAGGGCAAAGGAUUAUAUAUUAUUCUGAGUUGGUUGAAAAAGUUAUUAAAAGAAUUGCAGGUUGGCAUUCCAAAAUCUUAAAUUUUGGAGGUAAAAUUACUUUAGUAAAACAUGUUUUACAAUCUAUACCAAUACAUACACUUGCUGCUAUCUCACCUCCAAAAACUACCUUACAUUGUAUUCAAAAGCUUAUUGCUGAUUUCUUUUGGGGAAGUGAUAGAGAUGGAAAAAAAUAUCACUGGUCUUCAUGGGAAAACAUGGCAUAUCCAAUAAAAGAAGGGGGUAUAGGAGUGAGAUUACUUGAAGAUAUUUGUACAGCCUUCCAAUAUAAGCAAUGGUGGGAGUUUAGAACUAAAAAAUCCUUAUGGAGUCAGUUUUUAAAAGCUAAAUACUGUCAAAGAGCCAAUCCAGUGGCUAAAAAAUAUGAUUCUGGAGAUUCAUUGGUUUGGAGAUACUUAACUAGAAAUAGAAUUAAGGUAGAAUCUCUUAUUAAAUGGCAAUUACAUUCUGGUACUAGUAGUUUUUGGUGGGAUAAUUGGUUGGAUAGUGGAACUAUUGCCAGUCAAAAUGGUCAAAUAUCUAGUUUAAAUAAUAGUUUGGUUGCUGAUAUCAUAAAGGAUGGCAAGUGGAAUGAAAUACUCAUUAGACAACAAGUUACACCUUUACUAAUACCUAAAAUUCUGCAGACUAAAAUCAAUUAUACUACAGGAAAAAAUGACACUGCAAUAUGGACUCCUGCUGAAAAUGGCAAAUUUACUAUAGCUACAGCAUGGGAGUGUAUUAGAAAGAAAGGAAAUAUUGAAAUUAUUAAUACUAUUAUUUGGCAUAAAAAAUUACCUUUUAAAAUAGCCUUCUUUAUUUGGAGAGCUUUAAAAGGUAAAUUGCCUACUAAUGAACUUUUGCAGAAAAUUGGCAAACCUGUAUCUGAGUGUUAUUGUUGCUAUAUUAGAGGCAAGGAUGACAUUAAUCACAUUUUGAUUAAUGGCAACUUUGCUAAACACAUAUGGAAAACACAUGCUGCAACACUUGGAGUAAGGACAGUUAAUACCACACUUAGAGCACAACUAUUGCAAUGGAAGGAUCAACAAACUAGUAAUGAGGUACAAAAAUUAAUUGUUCAAACUUUACCUAAUCUAAUUUGUUGGCACCUGUGGAAAAACAGGUGUGCUGUCAAGUAUGGAAAGAAGAAUUCUAAUAUAUAUAGAGUACAACAUGGCAUAUUUAAGGAUGUAAUGCAGGUUAUCAAAUUGGAGUUUCCAAGUAUACCAUGGCAGUCUAGUUGGAGCAAAUUAAUUAACAUAGUAGAGCACUGCAAACACCAAUAUAAUAUAGUGUUGGUAAGGUGGAAUAAACCAAAAUUAGGCAAUUACAAACUAAAUACAGAUGGGAGUGCUUUACAGAACUCAAACAAGAUUGGUGGUGGAGGUAUUUUAAGGGAUCACCAAGGUAAAAUAGUAUAUGCUUUUUCUAUACCUUUUGGCUUUGGAACUAACAAUAUUGCAGAGAUAAAAGCUGCUCUAUAUGGGCUGGAGUGGUGUGAACAACAUGGAUACAAAAGAGUGGAAUUAGAAGUUGAUUCAGAAUUGCUAUGCAAUUGGAUCAAAAACAUAAUACAAAUCCCAUGGAGAUAUGAAGAUCUUGUCCAACAAAUCCAGCACAUAAUUAGGAAAAUGGAGUACUUUCAAUGUCAUCACAUCUACAGGGAAGCAAACAGCACUGCAGACUUGUUAUCCAAAUGGAGCCAUGGACUGGAAUUAGUUCAACACAUCUACACACCAAGACAACUUGAGGGAGCAAUUAAAGGAAGCUAUCUACUGGAGAGGAUGGGCACACAAAAUUUCAGAAGAAGGAAGCUAAAGAGAAUAAAACAUCCACCUUAGAUAUAUUACAAGUUAUAAAUGUAGUAUAUUACAAAUGACAUUAAAUGUAUUCAUUAACUAAUUUUCAGUUAGUAGAAUAGAUUUACUUUCUAUUAUCCAUGUAAAGGGAGAGUCUCCCUAGUUUAUGCUUUCGUUAGAUAUUUCUAUAGAAAUGCAUCAAUUGUAAAAGGAUGAAUUGACUAUCUUAUUAGAUAAGUCAAUUACAUUCUACCUAAGUAGUAGAAGGUAAGGUAUAAUGUCCCCCUUCUUCUUGUAUAAUUUUUUAAAUAAAUGAUAAGGCCUGGGGGUGAUGCUAAGCCCCUGACCCACUCCAAGGGUCGAUUAAACUAAAAAAAAAAAAAAAAAACCCUAAACCCUAAACCCUAAACCCUAAACCCUAAACCCAAUCGCUUUCUCAUUUUACGGAAAUUUUCUCUCUCUAAAAAUUUUCUCUCUCUAAAAAAUUUUCUCUCUCUAGAUUUGGUACGGUGUUCAUAGCGAGAAUUAGUUAAUCGACUAAUUUCUGGGUAUUGUGAGUUGUCAUGGAUGGAAAUCCGGCGGAUAGGCCACCAGAUCUUCCGAUCGAGGCUGGAAAUCCAACAAUUCAUGCGAAAAUCCACGAAGUGGCGGAAUCUGCAUCGUCUUCCUCGUCGCAACGAAGGGAAGAAGCGGUCCAUGUAGCGACUAUAGAGGCUGAUAUUGAUGCUUCGCGUCACAAUGUUGAACAAGAUUACCAUCUCAAUCGUCAAUUAGGCGCAACUGAAAAAGGCGAAGAACAUUUGGACGAUAGAAAAAUAACAUCGCAGGAUGCGGCGGCGAAAUCGAUCUCUACACCAGUUCAAUCGCAUAACAUUCGACAAGAAUCUCGCGAUGGGGAAUCUUCUCUAGGCCAAGAUUUACAUUCUCAACAGAUUGGUGAAGCAAUAGAGGAUCGAAUACACGAUUCGCGACAGGAAUCGCAAACUCGAAAUCGCGAUGGUCAAAACCCACAGGUGAAUCGAUCUACUCAAAAUCAGCAAAGAAAUCCCAGAUUUACUAAGGAAAAGGAGAUGGAACAACACAGAAAUCCCAAUUCUAACAAGGGAUUCGAGAUUGAACAGCAAAAUCCAAGGUCAACACGACUUGCAACUAAGGAUGCUGUUCAUCCUUCACAAAUUAGGCAAUCUGGUAUUCCUUCUUCUACGAUUCCUACUAGAGAUCAUAAUGUUCAAGGUAAUUUCGUUUCAUCCACUUCUAAUUACAAGAAUGAUAAUCUAGUUACUGAUAAAACUACCACUGUUUCUGGGAGAAAUCUUGAUUACCAACAAAAUUUUCCUAAACUAACUAGCAAUUUUGAUAGAAACUUGACUAGAAAUGAAAUUGAUAAGAAUGAUCUUCCUUUAGGAACUAACAAUUUUCCCAAGAAAGAUCAUAUACCUGAACCUGCUCCAUAUACAGUUAUACAAACCUAUGCAGACAGAUUAAGAUAUAAUCAAUCUAAGUGUGGGGAGAACAUUAAGUUGACAGAACCUGAGAUUACUACUAAGCAAGGUUUACCUGCAGUGCUAUAUGUUAAAGAGGAAGUAGUUAAAGAUUUGGCUUCAACCUGUAAGUUUACUUUAAUAGGAAAGUUCAUUUAUACCAUGCCUAAAAUAGAGUUAAUUAGGAAGAACUUUAUAUUACAAACUCAGUUAUCAGGGGGUGUUAAAAUAGCCCAUUUUAAUUCUAGACAUGUUUAUAUAGAUCUUGAUAAUGAACUUGACUACAACAUGGUUUGGACAAAACAAAGAAUGACAAUAUCAGGGCAAGUAAUGAGAAUACAGGCUUGGACUCCCAAUUUUACACCUGAGGAAGAAACACCUCUAGUUCCAAUUUGGAUUUCAUUGCCUGAAUUGCCUUGGCAUUGUUACAAUAAACAAUUCAUCACAAGCCUGCUUUCACCCAUAGGUAGGGUAUUAUAUUUGGACUCUGCUUCAAUAAACAAAACGAGAGGAAGUCAAGCUAGAGUUAAAGUUCAGGUAGAUUUAACUAAGGAAAGACCUCCACACAUUUGGAUGGGAUACAUAGGAGAAGACAUCACUGAUGGUAGGUGGCAAAAGAUUGAAUAUGAUAACAUUCCUAAUUACUGUUUUUACUGUAAACAUCAAGGCCAUAAGGAAUCAGAUUGUAUAGUAAAACAUAGGGAUGAAGAAAAUAAAAGAAGAAAAGAGAUUGAAAAAAAUAAGCCUAGGAAAGACAAUACAAUACAUGUCCCUGCAGAUUUACAGAUUAUUCAACAUAUGGACUCUGGUAGAAGUGACAUGGAGCAUGAUCAAUCAAGACAACAACAUUUUCAAAAUCAGCAACAAGGUACACAAGAUGAAUGGCAAGUUCAAAGGAGAAGAAACACCAACCAACAAGUUAGAUUUACCAAUGAGAAGACUGGUUCACAUCAACACCAGUCUAACACAGGUAUGAUUCCUAUUCCUACUAAAAAUACCUAUAUUGACCUUGAGACACAGGAUCAUACACCUGUUGAAGAGGGAAGGGAUCAACACAUGGAUGAUCAGCAUGAAGAAACUCAUGUACAGAAGGAAAAAAGGAAGCAAUCAAGAGUGGAAACCCAGGUCACUAGGGAUCCACAGGAUGACCAUCAAUAUGACAACAAUAAUAAAGAAGGUACUGAAUCAAUACUCCCCUCCCCUGCAAUCCCUAAUAGAGAUAAUACUGGUGUAGCUGAUGGAGGUGAGGAUGGAAGAAGUCAGGUGGAAAUUAGAUCUCAACAUGUUAAUUAUGAUAAAGGAAAAAAUAAAGCUGUUGAACAGGGGAUUUCUAGUAAUAUUGAGAAAGAACCCCCUGAUAAAAAUAGUAAAGUUCCUUCACACACUAACACUAAGAAUAACAACAAAACUAUUGGUAAUGAACCAAUUGAUAUACAAAGAGAUGAAAAUUUUGAUGAGUAUAGGGAACCAGACUCAGAGGAUGAAGAUGAUGUGGAUACUCAUUCUUUAAAAGAAGGUAUUGAACCAGGUGAGGAAAUUAACACAUCUGACCAACUUCAUAAGGACCCCCUGUUUCAGCCAUCUAAUGUGGAUGAAAUUAGAGAGGUAACAGGCAAACAAGGUCUAUCACCAAGAGGUAGGAAGCCUGUAAAACAAAAUAAACUUAUCAGUUCUACCAAGCCUAACACUAGAGCUCGGAGUAGAGGAAGUUAAUGAUUAAGUUGUUAUGUUGGAAUGUAAGGAGCAUCAAUACUUUUGGUGCUCUUGAGAGACUGAUUAAUCUCAGGAAAAUGUAUAAUCUGUCUAUGCUAGCUAUUUUAGAACCUUUUUCUAAUCAAGCUCAUAUUGAAUCUUGUAGAAUGCAAUUGAUCAUGGAUCAUAGUUAUAGUAACUCUAAUAAUAAAAUCUGGCUGUUUUGGACUAAUGAGAUUACUUGUGACAUUUUGGAGAGUGACCAACAACAAGUGACUUGUGAAAUUAGACAUGAGAACUGUAGUGAGAAGUUCAUCAUGACCUAUGUAUAUGCAAAAUGUAAGGAUCAAUUAAGGAAGCCUCUUUGGGAUGCUAUGCUUAAAAGAUCAGAAACUAUGUAUCCUUGGUGUAUUCUAGGUGAUUUCAAUGUUAUCACUUCUACUAGAGAAAAGUUGGGUGGUAAAGAUUAUAAUAUUAAUAAGAGUUUAGAGUUUAUUAGUAUUAUUGAGGCAUGUGGAUUAGUUGAUAUGGGAUAUUAUGGACAGGACUACACUUGGUGUAAUCAUAGGAAAGAUGGUGCAAGGAUAUGGAAAAGACUGGAUAGAGGCAUGAAUAAUGAUAAGUGGAUUGAAACAAUGCCUCAUUCAAAUAUUACUCAUCUUCCUUCUGUAGGGUCUGAUCACUGCCCAUUAUUGAUGGAAAUAUGUGAUAUUCAAUCUAAUACCAUUAAAUAUUUUAAAUUUCUGAACUGUUGGACUGAAAAUGACUCUUUCCUCAACACUGUAGAAAAUUGUUGGAAAAUAGAUGUAAUUGGUAACCCUAUAUGGAGAUUUCAUAUAAAAUUAAAAAGGUUAACUAAGACUUUGAGAGAAUGGUCCAAACAGGUUUAUGGUGAUAUAUUUGAAAAGGUUAAACAGUAUGAGGAAUUGGUGAAUAAGGCUGAAAAUGAUAUGAUUAGUAAUUAUAGUAUUGAAAAUGAAGAGAAGCUUAAUGCUAUGAAUGCUAAGUAUAUUAAGUACUUAAAGUUGGAGUAUAAGAUUCUUCAGCAGAAAACUCAGUUACAUUGGUUACAAGAGGGUGAUGCUAACACUAAAUAUUUUCAUGCUGUGAUUAGAGGUAAAAGAAAUAGAAUGGCAAUACAUAAGUUGAAGGAUGACAGAGGAAACUGGAUACUAGGGGAAGAAGAUAUUGCUAAAAAGGCCUGUGAGUAUUAUGAGGAGAUAUUUACUGGUAAAAAUGAGACAAUUAAGGAAGAUAUGCUGCAAUGUAUUACUCCUAUGAUAACUCAGGAACAAAAUGAUGGUUUAGAUAGAUUACCUGAUAUGGAUGAAUUGAGAAGGAUUAUUAUGAGUAUGAAUCCUCAUUCAGCACCUGGUCCUGAUGGUUUUGGAGGAAAUUUUUAUCAAGUAUGUUUUGAUAUUAUCAAAAAAGAUCUCUUGGAUGCUGUUAACCAUUUUUAUAUUGGUAAUAGUAUGCCUAGAUAUAUGACACAUGCUUGUCUAAUAUUACUCCCCAAAAUUGAUCAUCCUUGCAGACUUAAGGACUUCAGACCUAUUAGCCUUAGUAAUUUUGUUAAUAAAAUCAUAUCUAAAAUACUUAGUACUAGACUGGCUUCCAUAUUACCUGGUGUUAUUUCUGAAAAUCAAUCAGGUUUUGUUAAAGGGAGGAGUAUAGCUGAGAAUAUAUUAUUAGCCCAGGAAAUUAUCCAUGGUAUUAAAAAACCAAAAGAAGGCUGUAAUGUGGUAAUUAAAUUAGACAUGGUUAAAGCUUAUGAUAGGGUAUCUUGGACAUAUACUUGUUUAGUCUUAAGGAAAAUGGGAUUUAGUGAAAUGUUUAUUGAUAGAGUUUGGAGGAUUAUGAGUAAUAAUUGGUACUCUAUUGUAAUAAAUGGAAAGAGGCAUGGUUUUUUUCAUUCCAAGAGAGGUCUUAAACAAGGUGAUCCUCUAUCUCCAGCAUUAUUUAUUCUAGGGGCUGAAGUUUUGUCAAAACAACUUAAUCUUCUCUAUCAAAAUUAUAAUUAUAAAGGGUUUCAAAUGGAAAGAAAUGGUCCAAAAAUUAAUCAUCUUAGUUUUGCUGAUGAUAUAAUUAUAUUUGCUUCUACUGAUAGUAAUUCUCUUCAUCUUAUUAUGAAAACUAUUGAGGCAUAUGAGGAAGUUUCUGAUCAACAGGUGAAUAAAGAAAAGAGUUUCUUUAUGGUAUCUUCUAAAACUAGUCAUGACAUUAUAGAAGAGAUUAGGUUAGUUACAGGUUUUAAUAGGAAAAAUAGCCCUAUUAAUUAUCUUGGGUGUCCAUUAUACAUUGGAGGGCAAAGGAUUAUAUAUUAUUCUGAGUUGGUUGAAAAAGUUAUUAAAAGAAUUGCUGGUUGGCAUUCCAAAAUCUUAAAUUUUGGAGGUAAAAUUACUUUAGUAAAACAUGUUUUGCAAUCUAUACCAAUUCAUACACUUGCUGCUAUCUCACCUCCAAAAACUACCUUACAUUGUAUUCAAAAGCUUAUUGCUGAUUUCUUUUGGGGAAGUGAUAGAGAUGGAAAAAAAUAUCACUGGUCUUCAUGGGAAAACAUGGCAUAUCCAAUAAAAGAAGGGGGUAUAGGAGUGAGAUUACUUGAAGAUAUUUGUACAGCCUUUCAAUAUAAGCAAUGGUGGGAGUUUAGAACUAAAAAAUCCUUAUGGAGUCAGUUUUUAAAAGCUAAAUACUGUCAAAGAGCCAAUCCAGUGGCUAAAAAAUAUGAUUCUGGAGAUUCAUUGGUUUGGAGAUAUUUAACUAGAAAUAGAAUUAAGGUAGAAUCUCUUAUUAAAUGGCAAUUACAUUCUGGUACUAGUAGUUUUUGGUGGGAUAAUUGGUUGGAUAGUGGAACUAUUGCCAGUCAAAAUGGUCAAAUAUCUAGUUUAAAUAAUAGUUUGGUUGCUGAUUUCAUAAAGGAUGGCAAGUGGAAUGAAAUACUCAUUAGACAACAAGUUACACCUUUACUAAUACCUAAAAUUCUGCAGACUAAAAUCAAUUAUACUACAGGUAAAAAUGACACUGCAAUAUGGACUCCUGCUGAAAAUGGCAAAUUUACUAUAGCUACAGCAUGGGAGUGUAUUAGAAAGAAAAGAAAUAUAGACAUUAUUAAUACUAUUAUUUGGCAUAAAAAAUUACCUUUUAAAAUAGCCUUCUUUAUUUGGAGAGCUUUAAAAGGUAAAUUGCCUACUAAUGAACUUUUGCAGAAAAUUGGCAAACCUGUAUCUGAGUGUUAUUGUUGCUAUAUUAGAGGCAAGGAUGACAUUAAUCACAUUUUGAUUAAUGGCAACUUUGCUAAACACAUAUGGAAAACACAUGCUGCAACACUUGGAGUAAGGACAGUCAAUACCACACUUAGAGCACAACUAUUGCAAUGGAAGGAUCAGCAAACUAGUAAUGAGGUACAAAAAUUAAUUGUUCAAACUUUACCUAAUCUAAUUUGUUGGCAUCUGUGGAAAAACAGGUGUGCUGUCAAGUAUGGAAAGAAGAGUUCUAAUAUAUAUAGAGUACAACAUGGCAUAUUUAAGGAUGUAAUGCAGGUUAUCAAAUUGGAGUUUCCAAGUAUACCAUGGCAGUCUAGUUGGAGCAAAUUAAUUAACAUAGUAGAGCACUGCAAACACCAAUAUAAUAUAGUGUUGGUAAGGUGGAAUAAACCAAAAUUAGGCAAUUAUAAACUAAAUACAGAUGGGAGUGCCUUACAGAACUCAAACAAGAUUGGUGGUGGAGGUAUUUUAAGGGAUCACCAAGGUAAAAUAGUAUAUGCUUUUUCUAUACCUUUUGGCUUUGGAACUAACAAUAUUGCAGAGAUAAAAGCUGCUCUAUAUGGGCUGGAGUGGUGUGAACAACAUGGAUACAAAAGAGUGGAAUUAGAAGUUGAUUCAGAAUUGCUAUGCAAUUGGAUCAAAAACAUAAUACAAAUCCCAUGGAGAUAUGAAGAUCUUGUCCAACAAAUCCAGCACAUAAUUAGGAAAAUGGAGUACUUUCAAUGUCAUCACAUCUACAGGGAAGCAAACAGCACUACAGACUUGUUAUCCAAAUGGAGCCAUGGACUGGAAUUAGUUCAACACAUCUACACACCAAGACAACUUGAGGGAGCAAUUAAAGGAAGCUAUCUACUGGAGAGGAUGGGCACACAAAAUUUCAGAAGAAGGAAGCUAAAGAGAAUAAAACAUCCACCUUAGAUAUAUUACAAGUUAUAAAUGUAGUAUAUUACAAAUGACAUUAAAUGUAUUCAUUAACUAAUUUUUCAGUUAGUAGAAUAGAUUUACUUUCUAUUAUCCAUGUAAAGGGAGAGUCUCCCUAGUUUAUGCUUUCGUUAGAUAUUUCUAUAGAAAUGCAUCAAUUGUAAAAGGAUGAAUUGACUAUUUUAGAUAAGUCAAUUACAUUCUACCUAAGUAGUAGAAGGUAAGGUAUAAUGUCCCCCUUCUUCUUGUAUAAUUUUUUAAAUAAAUGAUAAGGCCUGGGGGUGAUGCUAAGCCCCUGACCCACUCCAAGGGUCGAUUAAAAAAAAAAAAACCCUAAACCCUAAACCCUAAACCCUAAACCCUAAACCCUAAACCCUAAACCCUAAACCCUAAACCCUAAACCCUAAACCCUAAACCCUAAACCCUAAACCCUAAACCCUAAACCCUAAACCCUAAACCCUAAACCCUAAACCCUAAAUCAGCUUGGGAGAUUAUCAGGAAAAAAAGAAUAGUUGAUCCUGUUAAUAAGAUGAUUUGGUUUAAACAAAUUCCUUUCAAAGUGAACUUCUUUAUUUGGAGAGCUUUGAGAAAUAAACUACCUACAAAUGAAAGCUUACUGAAAUUUGGAAGAACUGAAGAGGAAUGUUGCUGUUGCUAUCAGAAAGGAAGAGAUGACAUUAGCCAUAUACUAAUCUCAGGCAAUUUUGCUAAGCAUAUUUGGAAGUAUCAUGCAUCAAGAUUUGGUGUUAUACACACAAACAUAAGCUUAAGGAAUCAACUAAUACAAUGGGGCAAUCUGCAGGGUCAUAAUGAGGUAUAUAAAUUACUAAUACAUAUAUUACCUAACUUUAUUUGUUGGCAUCUUUGGAAAAACAGGUGUGCUGUGAAGUAUGGAGGCAAACAGUCCAGUAUUCAAAGAGUGCAGUAUGGUAUCUUUAAGGAUAGUAUGCAAGUUAUUAAAAAUGUACACCCCAAUAUACCAUGGCAAAACAAUUGGGAUAGCUUAAUGAAUCUGAUAAGUCAAUGUAAACAACAAUAUAAAGUUAC